UUUAAGUGCAACCAUAAGUUUCUGCGCAAAACUUUGACCGUCCGUCUUAUUUGAAUUUUUUUUAUAAUUAGUAUUUUUAUUGUUAUGAGAUGAUAAAAAAAUGAAUAAUACUUUGUGUUUUUAAUUAUUUUUUUAAAAAAAUUAAAUAAGACAGACGGUUAAAGUUAUACACAGAAAAUCAUGGCUGUACUCAAA
rfam:Oryza sativa Japonica Group DNA, chromosome 11, cultivar: Nipponbare, complete sequence.